rnacentral:rRNA from 1 species
UACGAAGGGGGCUAGCGUUAAUCGGAAUUACUGGGCGUAAAGCGUGCGUAGGCGGUUCGUUAAGUCUGUUGUGAAAGCCCCGGGCUCAACCUGGGAAUGGCAAUGGAUACUGGCGAGCUAGAGUGUGUCAGAGGAUGGUGGAAUUCCCGGUGUAGCGGUGAAAUGCGUAGAGAUCGGGAGGAACAUCAGUGGCGAAGGCGGCCAUCUGGGACAACACUGACGCUGAGGCACGAAAGCGUGGGGAGCAAACAGG